rnacentral:rRNA from 1 species
UACGGGGGGGGUAAGCGUUGUUCGGAAUUACUGGGCGUAAAGGGCUCGUAGGCGGCCAACUAAGUCCGACGUGAAAUCCCCAGGCUUAACCUGGGAACUGCGUCGGAUACUGGAUGGCUUGAAUCCGGGAGAGGGAUGCGGAAUUCCCGGUGUAGUGGUGAAAUGCGCAGAUAUCGGGAAGAACACCCGUGGCGAAGGCGGUUCUCUGGGACGGUACUGACGCUGAGACGCGAAAGCGUGGGGAGCGAACAGG